UCUCCGAAUUUGAGCAAU
rnacentral:snRNA from 1 species